rnacentral:rRNA from 1 species
GAGUUUUGAUCCUGGCCUCAGGACGAACGCUGGCGGCGUGCUUUAACACAUGCAAGUCGAACGAUGAAGCCCUUCGGGGUGGAUUAGUGGCGAACGGGUGAGGAACACGUGAAGAAUCUGCCCUCCACUUUGGGAUAACUCCGGGAAACCGGGGCUAAUACCGAAUAUUGAAACAUAAGUGGCAUCACUGAGUUUUGAAAGAAUUUCGGUGGAGGAUGACUUCGCGGCCUAUCAGCUAGUUGGUGAGGUAAUGGCUCACCAAGGCAACGACGUGUAGCCGGCCUGAGAGGGCGACCGGCCACACUGGGACUGAGACACGGCCCAGACUCCUACGGGAGGCAGCAGUGGGGAAUAUUGGGCAAUGGACGCAAGUCUGACCCAGCGACGCCGCGUGCGGGAUGAAGGCCUUCGGGUUGUAAACCGCUUUCAGCAGGGAAGAAGCGAAAGUGACGGUACCUGCAAAAGAAGCACCGGCUAACUAUGUGCCAGCAGCCGCGGUAAUACAUAGGGUGCAAGCGUUGUCCGGAAUUAUUGGGCGUAAAGAGCUCGUAGGUGGUUCGUUACGUCCGGUGUGAAAAAUCUGGGGGCUCAACCCCCAGACCUGCACUCGA